AGAGUUUGAUCCUGGCUCAGAUUGAACGCUGGCGGCAUGCCUAACACAUGCAAGUCGCACGCGAAAGGGGGCAACCCCGAGUAGAGUGGCGGACGGGUGCGUAAUACGCAGGAAUCUACCCACGAGUGGGGGACAACCCGGGGAAACCCGGGCUAAUACCGCAUGAGACCUACGGGUGAAAGCGGGGGAUCGCAAGACCUCGCGCUGGUGGAUGAGCCUGCGUCCGAUUAGCUAGUUGGUAGGGUAAAAGCCUACCAAGGCAACGAUCGGUAGCUGGUCUGAGAGGACGACCAGCCACACUGGGACUGAGACACGGCCCAGACUCCUACGGGAGGCAGCAGUGGGGAAUAUUGGACAAUGGGGGCAACCCUGAUCCAGCAAUGCCGCGUGUGUGAAGAAGGCCUUCGGGUUGUAAAGCACUUUCGAUGGGGACAAACGUGUCGGGCUUAAUACGUCCGGCCUUGAUGGUACCCAGAGAAGAAGCACCGGCUAACUCUGUGCCAGCAGCCGCGGUAAUACAGAGGGUGCAAGCGUUAAUCGGAAUUACUGGGCGUAAAGCGUGCGUAGGUGGUUGGAUAAGUCAGGUGUGAAAUCCCCGAGCUCAACUUGGGAAUUGCGCUUGAUACUGUCCGGCUAGAGUGUGGUAGAGGGUAGUGGAAUUCCGCAUGUAGCGGUGAAAUGCGUAGAUAUGCGGAGGAACAUCAGUGGCGAAGGCGGCUACCUGGACCAACACUGACACUGAGGCACGAAAGCGUGGGUAGCAAACAGGAUUAGAUACCCUGGUAGUCC
rnacentral:rRNA from 1 species